UACGUAGGGUGCGAGCGUUAAUCGGAAUUACUGGGCGUAAAGCGUGCGCAGGCGGUUGUGCAAGACAGAUGUGAAAUCCCCGGGCUUAACCUGGGAACUGCAUUUGUGACUGCACGGCUGGAGUGCGGCAGAGGGGGAUGGAAUUCCGCGUGUAGCAGUGAAAUGCGUAGAUAUGCGGAGGAACACCGAUGGCGAAGGCAAUCCCCUGGGCCUGCACUGACGCUCAUGCACGAAAGCGUGGGGAGCGAACGGG
rnacentral:rRNA from 1 species